CCUCCCUAUUUUUUUCCUUGUCCCACUUAGGAGCUACCACAGAAAGCCAAAUAGGCUCGACUGAGCAACCACCUAGGACGAAUCGCCGCCUCCAGUGAGCGUGCUUCCAGCUUCCACUCGGAAUGCUCCAAGUGGGCACACCCGGGGCUUUGUUUCUGUCACUAGGACGCGUCCCCAAGCCCAGGCUGUCCCCGAGUCCCUGCCACAGGCGCAGAUGGUGGCGGGCGCCCUUGCCCCUGGGCUCCCGGUUAACGGCCUCGGACCGUUCUCAUGGUGCAGUCUUCGUCUCUCUCCCCAGCAGGCCAAGGCACCGGGAAGGCCCCUGAGGAGAUGACAGCGCCGAGCCCCAUCAGGCGCUAGUCCCGCCCUGGACGCCGGGCGCCGCCUCCACAGUCUCGGCUUCCGUUGCUGGAUGGGAACCAGCGUGGCCCGUUCAAGGCGAAGGGCACAGGCGCGCCAAGGAGCAGAGCCGCGGGAAGCAGCUCCCUAAGCCACAAUGCUAGUCGCGAACACAGGAAAAAGCUCGUCUCGCCGCCGCGGGACCCCAAGCUCCCGCCGGCAGAAUAUGCCUGUGGGAGCAACGGCCGCGGCGCGGAAUUCUGGGAGUUGCUCGUUGCGCGGCGCGCGGGCACGUCCGCCGGCCACCGGAAGCAGCGCCAUUGCCCGGUGCGUGCAGGUGGCAGCCAAGAGCCUCCUGAUACAGUGGCACCAGGUGGCGCCUAUUGGACCCCAGAGGUCAUCCCAGCUCCAGCCGUGGACACAUUUUCUUCCAAUGGAGGGAUGCCAAAAGACAGGAAGGAGUGGAGGAAGACUGUGUUUCAGUUUCCAGCGUGCAGCCAGGAUAGAAGUCACAGUGCAAGCAAGUUUGGAAUUCCUGGUCAGUCUCUGCAUGGGAGUUGAGGAGCAUGUGGGUGACAUCGCUGAAUGUGGAGGAGGGAAUGGCAGUGGCAGGAAGUCCAGGACGUUUGGGCUGGACAUGUAACCUGGAGCAGAUUGGAAAUGUCACCCCGCAAGCAGGGAAGGAGAAAACUGGAAAUGGAAAGAGAAAGCAACUCCCUUCCCAGCCCUGAAGCCAGAGGGACUUCUGCCAGUUCAUCCCCCACACAGGUCCAGUAUGAGGAACAGAGGGAGAAUUUUAUGUCCAAGUAUAAUCACUAUGAAUACAUCUGUUGUGCCCCUUUUGCAGGUCAGCACAAUGUUAAGCUCUGUAAAUGCAACUCAGUUCUUUCAGCAUCCUCACAAGGCAGGGCUUGCUGUCUUUCCAGAUGUCUACAGAUGAGGGAACUGAGGCCUGGAGAGGUUAAAGAGGCCCAUUCAGAGUCCUACAGCAGCAGGUAAUGGAGGCAGUACUUUGAAAGCAGGUUGCAAAGUGAGUGUUCUUAGCCCUUGCCCUUGGAUGCCUCCAGACAAGGAAGGACAGGGUUAGAGAGCAGAAAUGGACACAGGCAGUGAGAGAUUCCCCAGGGAAGGCCAGAAGCAUCAGGACAGGAUAGUAUCACAUAGGAUAUUGGGCCGACCUCUUGGGUGUGGUCUACAUUUGUGUUUGUGUGUGUGUUCAGGAAUGAAAGAGCAGAGCAGGGAUGGGCAAGAUAAGGAGGGGGAAACUGUGAGUGUUGGUCACUCUGUUCAGGCCUCAGCUGAGAGGAGAAGAGGCAUGGGGGUGGGGCACUGGGCUAUGGAUUCAUCUUGACCAGAGAGAAGACAUCUGACCUCAGAAUUUGAAGGGAGCUACUGAGUGCAGGCUUGCAGGAGUCGGUGUGCCAGGAAGUUGAAAGAGUCCAGAGUCAUCCCUUGAAGUGAAUUAAAAGGCUGAUUUGUCUGCAAAGAGAGGACAGUGGUGGAAGGGGGCUGAAGUAGGGAGUGAGAGCAUGAGCUUGCAGCUGUAGGGGGAUGGUGACUGAGCGGAUACUGGUGUUCCUGAACUCCUAUACCACCCAGGACUCAGAAACUAGCAGGGUUGGGCAGAGAGGGCAGUCAAGGGC
rnacentral:lncRNA from 1 species